AAGAUUGGCAUUCCGAGUUUACCUUCUUGGUUGAUGACGGGGUUGUUUUAAGGUCUCCACUGUUUUGCUUAUGAUUUGCAGUCCUCGUGUGACAAGUGCAUCCGAGAUUGGUUUCACAUCGAAAUCUGUUUGCUUCCGGAUGCCCUCGCUGUUCUUUCUCUGAGUUCCCGAUUUCCAUGAAAAUGGCUCCAUGAUACGUUGCUUGAUCAGGAUCCCCAACUUGUCGUGAAGAUUGGCUUUCUGAGUUUUCGUUCUUGAGGCUUUCACUAUGUUGCUUAUAUUUUCUUGCCUUCGUGGUUACGUGCACUCCAAGAUUGGUCUUACAUCGAAAGCUGAUUGCUUCCAUAAGCCCUGCCUGUUCUUUCUCGAGUUCCGACGUCCAAGGAAAUGGCUCCUCGAUAUGGUGCUUGUGAAUAACAAAGAACUCGAUCAGGACUCAAGUACGGGAAGAGACAUCUGAUCACCAAGAUUGGCUUUUCCAAUUUGCAUUCUUUUCUCGAAGAUAUCUAAGAUCCGAUUUCCAAGAAAAGGGCUCAAGCUCGGUGAUGUGUUUCUUGAAGUGGUUUUACAUCGAAAGCUGAUUGCUUCCAUAAGCCCUCUCUGUUCUUUCUCGAGUUCCGACUUCCAAGGAAAUGGCUCCUCGAUAUGGUGUUUGUGAAUAACAAAGAACUCAACCAGGACUCAAGUACGGGAAAAGAUAUCUGAUCACCAAGAUCGGCUUUUCUAGUUUGCAUUCUUUUCUCGAAGAUAUCUACGAUCCGAUUUCCAAGAAAAGGGCUCUAGCUCGGUGAUGUGUUUCUUGAAAGAAAAAGAAAGGAUUAUUUCAGGAUUUUGUUAUGACAUCAGAAGACCGAAAGAUCUUUCAGAGAGCUUCCACCACCUUCCCAUAUGGUUACAUUCUGUUUAUUGGUAUACUACAACGAUGACGACAAAGCCGUAAGUCCUAAUAUUUUAUUCAUUGAUAUGUCAACUUUAAAUCACACUUUUCUUUCUAAAAAUUUCUUGAUAUUUACCGUAAGGAAAAAGGAAACGAAUUAUUUGCUUCGCUGCUCUGGUUUAUUAGCAGGCAUUAACAGCACUGCUAUAUAGUGCCAUCUGUUUAUUAUUAUUGUUAUUAUUAUUGUUUGCUAAUCUUUAUUUCGUUGGUUAAAAGUUGAAUUGCUUUAUUUCUAAUGAAAUUUGCUAUUACCUUUCACCCCACCCUCACCCUUCUGCAGGCACUUCUCUCUCAUCUUCUGAUAAGGUACACCAAAGACUUAGAUGGUAAUGGAUUUUUUGGACUAAAAUUUUUCAGUCUUAAUCUAAGCUUCUAUGUGAUAGCAAAGAAGGUAUUGAAUUUGAUCAUCAAUUUUAACUACUCCAUGACAUCUAUAUGCUAAAAUGAUUCAAACUGCAGCUCCUGACAAUAAAACCGGUCUACCUUUGGCCGAUUAAUGAAACUUUUCUAAUCUAUUGUUACUCUGUCCAGUUGUAAUAUGGACAUCUUACAUAUACAUGCCUUAGCAUAUAGAACUUAAGUUAAUUGGUAGUUUGUUAUAACAAUUAACAAACAUGAAAACACAUUGAUCUCCACAUUGAUGCUCUUUGUUGUCUGGCUCGAAGCUGGACCUGAAAAUUGAUCCGCGCUCCUGAUCACAUUGUAGCUUGCUCCCUAUUGCUUUCCUUUUGGGACUAGUGAUUUGGGAUAUAAGCGGUGCUGUUAUUUCUGAGAAACAUCGAUUUUUUAUUUUUGUGGCAGUGAGAUAUUAGAUUUAAUUUUAGUCUUACUUGUUUCUAAAAAUCAGUUAACCUCCUGCCAAACUCGGCAAAUCCAUGUUGGACAAUGUCCCCUAAGCGAUUGUUAUGAGAAACUCUCUUUGUAGAGCUUAAAAACAGUUGUAGGUAAAAAUUUGUCCUACAAUAAGUUUCAAUGUAACUAUCAUGUUGAUGCUAGAAAUGGAUGUUGUUGUCAAAGGUUCCCGUGAACUUAUUUUCUAAUGGUGGGCAAUUUUGCAAUACUAGAAAAAUCAGAUUAACAUAUAAUUAAAUUAAAUUGUUUCUAUAAUAUGAGUUUGAAUCUUCAUAAUUUAAAAUAAAACUUCAGGAAUUUUUUUCAUGAUCUGUCACCUCAUCUUAGUUUAAAUGUAGUCCUUGUUUAUUUUUUCCAUUUCUCCUAGUUGGUGCAUUCAAGUUCUCGCAGACUCCACCUUGUCAUGGAUGAAUAUGACAAUAUCAUCUGAAUUUGAUCUCUAAAGUCUGAAGGAUCUUACUUUUCUUUUUCUUCCUUUUUGUAUAUGUGUUUUUCUGAAUGGGAGUGGGAGACAUCAGCUAGAUAUCUUUCUUAGUUCUCACUAGGUGUGAUGCUAGAGAGAAUGAACUUAACAUCCCCAUCUGUGACAUAUGUCCAUUGAAUCUAGUUUGGAAGAUGCAAGAAUGGUUGCUUCCCAUUAUGGAUUUGAAAGGGAGAAGGAUAAAACAUUUGUGACGAUAUACACUGCAAAUCUUCACUGUAUGAUGCAAAACUGAUAGUGUGCUGACUUCUGGACGAUGAAGAAACGCUGAUGACCAGAGUCGAUUCCUCCAUGGUAGGAAGUGUUCCCUUUGGCGUUUGGUUCCAGAAUUGUUCCAUUAGCUAAGGUGAUUCACACUUAGUCUGAUGAGAUAAGUGUAUGAAGAAUGUACGAAGAUGCAUGUAACAUUGUGGAAGAAUGUACGAAGGUGCUUUUCUUCGUCUUGAACUACUCCAACUUGAUAUGGGUGUUACUCAAAGCUCUAAGGUUGAUGCACAAUGUCACAAUUUGAAUGCUGAAUGUCACAAUGUCACAAGUGACGGUGAACGAAGUUUACUCCCACAUCAUAUAUGCGUCGAGUAUUUUACCAUCAUGGACAUAAAGCAUAAUUCCUCUUUUUGGUGCCUGUGACUCUUUUGUUCUGCGCUUAGUGCUGCAUAUAGUGUUUGGUGACGGCGGUGCCUAU